rnacentral:rRNA from 1 species
CGUUCAGGCGGUGGGACAAGUCGGGCAUGAAAUCCUUCGGCUCAACCGGGGGAGGUUGUCCGAUACUGUCGCACUGGAGGGCAGUAGAGGGUGGUGGAAUUCCGGGUGUAGUGGUGAAAUGCGUAGAGAUCCGGAGGAACACCAGUGGCGCAAGCGGCCACCUGGACUGUACCUGACGCUGAAACGCGAAAGCUAGGGGAGCGAACG